rnacentral:rRNA from 1 species
CAGAGGGUGCGAGCGUUAAUCGGAAUUACUGGGCGUAAAGCGUGCGUAGACGGUUAUUUAAGUCGGAUGUGAAAGCCCCGGGCUCAACCUGGGAAUUGCAUUCGAGACUGAAUAGCUAGGGUACGGUAGAGGGAAGCGGAAUUUCCGGUGUAGCGGUGAAAUGCGUAGAUAUCGGAAGGAACAUCAGUGGCGAAAGCGGCUUCCUGGACCAGUACCGACGUUCAGGCACGAAAGCGUGGGGAGCAAACAGGAUUAGAUACCCUGGUAGUCCACGCCAUAAACGAUGAGGACUAGACGUUGGAGGGUUAAGCCUUUCAGUGUCGUAGCUAACGCGCUAAGUCCUCCGCCUGGGGAGUACGGCCGCAAGGUUG